rnacentral:rRNA from 1 species
UAACCUGCCCAAGAGAUCGGGAUAACACCUGGAAACAGAUGCUAAUACCGGAUAACAACAGAUGAUGCCUAUCAACUGUUUAAAAGAUGGUUCUGCUAUCACUCUUGGAUGGACCUGCGGUGCAUUAGCUAGUUGGUAGGGUAACGGCCUACCAAGGCGAUGAUGCAUAGCCAGUUGAGAGACUGAUCGGCCACAUUGGGACUGAGACACGGCCCAAACUCCUACGGGAGGCAGCAGCG